rnacentral:rRNA from 1 species
CCUACGGGUGGCAGCAGUGGGGAAUAUUGGACAAUGGGCGAAAGCCUGAUCCAGCCAUGCCGCGUGUGUGAAGAAGGCCUUCGGGUUGUAAAGCACUUUCAGUGGGGAAGAAAGCCUUGGGGCUAAUACCCUCGAGGAAGGACAUCACCCACAGAAGAAGCACCGGCUAACUCCGUGCCAGCAGCCGCGGUAAUACGGAGGGGUGCGAGCGUUAAUCGGAAUUACUGGGCGUAAAGCGCGCGUAGGCGGUCUGAUAAGCCGGUUGUGAAAGCCCCGGGCUCAACCUGGGAACGGCAUCCGGAACUGUCAGGCUAGAGUGCAGGAGAGGAAGGUAGAAUUCCCGGUGUAGCGGUGAAAUGCGUAGAGAUCGGGAGGAAUACCAGUGGCGAAGGCGGCCUUCUGGACUGACACUGACGCUGAGGUGCGAAAGCGUGGGUAGCAAACAGGAUUAGAUACCCUAGUAGUC